GUUUAAAUAGCUUAGCUCAAAAGCAUCAGUCUUGUAAACUGACGACCAGAGGCUCAACCCCCUCUUUUAAACU
rnacentral:tRNA from 1 species